CUGAACGGAAAAUAGUGGCGGAGGAUAAAUACAUUACGACAAGAUAUGAUUACAGAUAUGGUAACAUUGCAACAAGGAUCACAUUCAGUAGGUAGCCUAUUGUGGUCUGACUUCUCUUUUUGCGUUGGUUACAUUACAUGGGCAAUAUUACACCUGCAUAUCUCAUUCCCAUAACAUGGGCAUUCAUAUUAUAAUAGUCUCCACUCUUCUGAGAAUGCUUUCCACAAAUGUUUGGAACCUGGUUGCAGGACUUUUUAUCCAACAUCAAUACUAAACUCAGAUAGUAAUGGAAAUGCAGCCGAGUGAAAAUCCAAUGUAGAAGAAGUCCAUCAGAACCCAACAGAAUUAUCUUAAUACAAGUAUUUGUUCCUGCAGAUAGCUGGGUUUCUUGUUUACUGGACCUUUUACAAGUAAUAUUAAAAAAAAAUGUGUGUGUUUUUUUUAAUUUUCCUUAUAUUUUUAAGACAAUACACCAGGUUAAUUGACACAACUUUUACCCAACUUUUAUGUUUUAUCCAGACUCCAGUGAGCCUCAAUGCCUGAUUACACAAGACUGUGCCUUGUGCUGGAUGCUGCUGUUCUCUCUGUGUCCAACUGUUGCUGUUCUCUCCUCACUCCUUUCAGUUCUUCUGGUUUAUCACCUGUGUCACAAAAAAGCUAAGGAACCUAAAACGGAGACCCAAAGACCCCAAAACAGAGGCCAAACAAGAGAGAAGGAGGAUGAAGAUGUGUGUUAUGCUGCACUGGAAAUCAGAAGACCAAAGAAGAAGAAAACACAGAUUUCUGACUCCACCACGUAUUCUGCCAUCAAUAGCCUGUAGGAUGUAAAGAGCCUAACAAUUUACACAAACAUGAAUUCAUUAGAGCUGAUGUUUCUGUAAUUUAGUUUCCCUUGCAAACCACAGCAACAACCAAUAACACUGAUGGUAUAUACAGUAUGAAAACAUGGCAUACAGUUAAGGUUGGUUUUUUUUUUAAAAAGCAGUGAUGUGUUUGAAAAGUUGAUCAUAAACUCUUUUGUCUUUGUUAAUUGAGAACAAAUAUACAUUUUACAGUAUUUAGUAGUUAAUGAAGCCACCAGUGUUACUAGUGGGAAGGAAGAUAAAGAGUGGCAAACGAAAACAAAGACAGGAUUUGAUUUGAGAGUGAUUUAGAUUUUGUGUGCAGGGGCAAAAAUAUAGACAGUGCAGUUGCCUGUGGGGGCCCAUAGAGAGAAGGGCCUCCAACAAUGUGUUAGGUGAAACUUCUGAAAUACGCCUGUGUUGAAAGAUCUAUAUAGGAAUAUAUAUAUAUAUAUAUAUAUAACUAUUCAAUUAAAUAAUUAAUAUUUUGUUAUUUUGAAACUGAAUGAGAAUUAAACUCAUCGCAAGAUUGCUACACUUUAAACUUAUUACUCAAAGAAGUUACAACCCAAUACAGAGUGACAAUGAAGUUACAGGAGCCGCAAGGUGUCGCCAUUGUGAUCAGGCCCACAGGAAACCCAUAUUGCAAAACAGCACAUCAUGCAGGCGGACUGAUGCAGCAGAUUAGUGGUGUUAUACUGUUUUUAUGCAUGCCUUCACUUUCGUUACUUGAGAAUUAUCUUAUGAUGCAGGGCUGGCAGUAUGGUGUGUGGACUGGUAGCUAGAGAGGUGCCAGUUCGACCUCCUGGCCACCUGCAAGGCCCCCUAACCCCAAUUUGUCCUUGCUCAUUCUGUUGUUUUAUUGGGUUCAUGUUCCUUAUUUUCAUUUUAUCUGCAUUGUUUGGUUUUGAUUAUUUAUUUUUUUG